CACGUAUUGCUGAAGCCUGGCUUGGAGAAUUUUGAGCAUUACUUUAAACUUAUUUGAGAAAUAGAUUUGAGAAAUAGAUUUUUCUUAUGGUCCACCAGAAAUCUACCUCUGAGGUAUCUUCUUGAUGAAGACUCUUCUAGAGGUUGAAAAGUUUUCAUGAAGUUAAUACCUUUAGGCUCUCAGAAAUGCUUGGGAGAUGUCAUGAAAAUGUGCCUUUUCAAAGUUUACAAAAUUCAGAUUUUGCACUAUAAUUUAUCCAAAAUUUUUAUGAGGAUUUUAGCAUUUUCCAAGUAUUGUAAUUAACUCACAACUGGGAAAUCAUUAUUUCUGUAGAUGAAUAUAAGUUGUUAAAAUGUUCUUUUGACAUUCUUCCUCACGAAGUACCUUAUUUGCAAAAAUCCCAGUGUAUAAUGACUCAUGCGUUGCAAUCUGCUUUCAUGUGGCCACGCUCCUGGAGUAGAGCAGUGACAUGUGACCCCAAACUUGAUGUGAAAAAUCCCCAAGACUGCUUUAGAAUGCAGUUAUAUACAUAUGAUGAGGAUGAAUCUCUUUUUCUCUUUUUUUCUGUCCUCCAGCAGGGUUGCCAGAGGAUGAUUUCCUUUAAAAUAAAGCUUGUCAUUUACAGUUGAACAAACACUUUUAUGUACAUUAUUAAACUAAAAUUCUCAUAUUGUAUUACUACCGUGGGAUGCAUUAUAUUUGGACAGGAGACCAGCAGAUUUCUUUUCCAAGAUUUUGUUUGGAUUCAGUUCAGUUCAGUUCAGUUCAGUUCAGUUCAGUCGCUCAGUCGUGUCCGACUCUUUGCGACCCCAUGAAGCACAGCACGCCAGGCCUUCCUGUCCAUCACCAACUCCCAGAGUACACUCAGAUUCACGUCCAUCGACUCAGUGAUGCCAUCCAGCCUUCUCAUCCUCUGUUGUCCCCUUCUCCUCCU
rnacentral:lncRNA from 1 species